UUUGUAUGAAUUAAUGCAUUCAAUUAUCACAUAAUAUUAUAUACUGGUAUUUUAAGAGUUGUUUGAUGGAACAACUACCCAUCAUGUAUCACUUGAACUAAUUCCAUUACAUUUGCAAUCAAAAUCUGAAAUAAUGGUAAAGAACAACUCAAAUGUUAAAAAAAUAACUGUAGGUGGUCAAAUCUUAUGGUUCAACUAACAAGGAACACAUGUCAUUUUGUUUAGAGGUCUUAGAGAUGCCUAUGUGAGCUAUAGAUUUGUUUCAAAAGACCAAGAAGAAUCUAGAAGAAGGAACCUUUCGAAACUCUGAUUCAUAGUUGUAUGGAUGAUAAUGCAUUAAGACAUAUUUAUCACAAACACCGGCAAAUAUUGAAUACAAUUAUUAUAAUUUAUUCUAAUCAUAAAUAAAUACUGUUUUAUUUUACUGCAU